AGUCGAACGGCAGCACGGACUUCGGUCUGGUGGCGAGUGGCGAACGGGUGAGUAAUGUAUCGGAACGUGCCUAGUAGCGGGGAUAACUACGCAGCGUAGCUAAUACCACAUACGUCCUUCGGGGAGAAAGCGGGGGACCUUCGGGCCUCGCACUAUUAGAGCGGCCGAUAUCGGAUUAGCUAGUUGGUGGGGUAACGGCUCACCAAGGCGACGAUCCGUAGCUGGUUUGAGAGGACAGCCAGCCACACUGGGACUGAGACACGGCCCG
rnacentral:misc_RNA from 1 species